rnacentral:lncRNA from 1 species
CAAAAGUUCUAUAAGCAGUUCUCAAAAUAUAUAUAUAUAAAGCUUAGAACUCAUAAAGACUCUGACAGUCAGAAGCAGCUUUCAGAGCUGUUGUGACACGACACAUCUCCCUGGGGCUGUGAUGGUUCUCUCAAGAAUGACUGCACCAGAACAAAGGAAAACUGGAAGUACUGCAAUUUUAUCACAGCUGAGACCAUGAACAUGUAGGAGUAGGUCACUAACUUAGCCUUUAUGGAACAUCUCUGAAAGCAUGGCUGAGAAAUGAUCUACAUGUGUGAGAGCGUUGUUGAGUACUGUGAGCAACAGCUAGCUGAAGGAUUUUGAGGGCAGGCCUUAGGGUCAGUUACAAAAGAGACUGGAACUUACAGAAAAUGAAGAGGAGAAAAAGGAACAGGAAGAGAGAAGGACAAUGUUUGCAAAGCUCAACCAAAUUAUGAAAGAUACCUUGGGAAAAAAGGUUGAAAAAGUGAAGUGUCAAACUGAUUGGGGACAUCCCCACGCUGUGUCAUCACAGCACAUGUGGGUAGACAGCAAACAUGGGAAGCAUCAAGAAAGCUCGCACCCUCAGAGGCAAUGCAAGGACAAGCUCCAUGGCAGCAAGGAAAAACCUGGAGAUAAGUUCUGACCACUCCAUUAUUGAAACCUUAAGGCAAGAGGCAGAGGCUGACAAUCAUGGCAUCUGCUAAGGAUCAGGUUUUCUUGCAGCACUCCUGCCUUCUGGCUUCAGCCUGGAAGAUCCACAGACACCUGAUAACAGCUUGGUCUAGGUAUUGAUGAAGAUGCUCCCACUGUCGACAAUACUGUAACGGAAGAAAUGCCAGCCCUGGAAGGAGAUGCUGGCAAGGCACGAAUGGAAGUGGAC